rnacentral:lncRNA from 1 species
GUUUACUUGACACUGAUUCCAAAAAUAUAUGGUUCUAUAUACUUUUACUUUGAUUUAGUACAAAAAAUAGCUACUUCCGGUUUACAAAAGGUCACUUCCGGUUGUGUUUUUUAAGGUCACAUUGCUUACAACUUAAUGCAAAAAGUCCCAUGGCUUUAUCAUGUGUACAUAUGAGGUAAAAGCAAAGGUCAAAAUCUAGAACGUUUAAUUAGCAUAUGACCUUGAGCUCAAUUUCAAGGUUAUAAACCAAGGACCUCAAAUCAAAAGACUCUAGUCCUCUACUUUAUAUUGUUAAUGAGUUAUAUUACCAUACGUAUGAUAUUAGAUAUAAAAAUGGGGAAAACUCGCGUCAAAUGUCUACGUACCCUUU